rnacentral:lncRNA from 1 species
UGAUUAUGAUUCUUUGUUUACAGUUAUGCCACCAUAUUAUUCAGCAUUUUAUUUGAGGGUCCACACACAUAAUGAAGUCAUUGAUAGAUAAUGCUUAGUUAGUGAUGACUACUGUUUUCAGUUACAGCACUUAAAAUAUUGUUUUCCCCCUGAGGACGCUCUUGGAGGUUGCUGCAAUGGAGCAGAAAUUGGCAGACCCCACCUUCAACAAACACGUGGUUGGCGUGGUGGCAGAAAUUGGAGGAAGAACAUUGGAUGAAGCCACCAGAAGAAUGAUGGCCUUCCUUUUAGACCACUCCCUAUCAAGAGAGUACAAUUUUGUUGGCUGCCAUGGAAAGCGAGAUUUCGAUGUUCAAACUGUUUGAGGUUGUAUAUGGAAGCUUGAAAAAAAAUGCCCUUACAAACCAGAUUACUAGAAGAGAUGCUGAAAAGGCAGUGUCAAAGUGGCUAAUUGGUGCCAGGGACAGGGGAGGAAACCGUACAGCGAGGGCACGUGGUGGAGAGCAAGAUGGGUAAAAGUCAUUAUCAUUAAAACUGCAGUUAAAAAGUGUUUAGCCUACUUAUAUUUGUGUAAAACACAACAUUGUGCUUUUGUCAAACUUUAAACUUUUGUAGGCUAACCUACAACUGUCACCCAACCAAAAUCACACACACACACACACACACACAGUUCAGUGGUUCUGGAGAUUUAUCUGAAUAACUCAUAAACAAAAAUGUUGAAAAUGUGAAAAUAAAACAAAGUGGUUCUGAAAGUUUUUUUUUAGGAAGAAAAAUCUAUGAGCCAUAUCUCUUCGCACUUGCACCUCAAGACCCAAAGUAUAGAAUAGCUCUAGGUGUUCUUAUAAGACAUUUACUAUCAGAUGUGUGUCUGCUAUAUGUACUGACUGCAUAUGUGCAUAAUAAUAAUUUUUUUAUAUUAACAUAAAAUGUGGACAGUCUGAUUCAGCCAUGGCAAACUAAGUAUUGUGGUCACUACCAAAACAUGCAGUCACUACCGUAACAUGGGAUGUUUUGUCAAAAAUAAAGUAUAUUGAAUUAUCAACUAAGAUGUUAUGAUAGUGUUUGGUUCAAUGCAUAUUCAAACUAAUGAAUCCUUAACUUUGAAAUCAGUAUGAUAAACGUUAUGCCUUCUACAAAGAAAGAUUGGGUUCAAAAUAC